rnacentral:rRNA from 1 species
UUGACCUCGGAUCAGGUAAGAUUACCCCCUGAACUUAAGCAUAUCAAUAAGCGGAGGAAAAGAAACCAC